GUAGGAAUACUGAACCAAGAAUAGUAAUCUCUUUGACUAGGUGAACCAGGAGGUGCAUCAUAAUAUUGAAGAAGGAUGGUGGAAAUACCAACUCAUAGCUGACAAGAUAUUGUACCACAUCGUUCUGUAGCUUUAGUAGCUUUGUUGGAUUGAUAGCCUUUUGCAAAAUCGCAUUGAGAAAUGCAUAUAGCUUUCCGAGCGCCAAUCGUACAUUCUUCUGUAGAAUACCGCUCAGCAUGCAACCGGAAGAAACUGGGUCAUCAGCAUGUAGCAUUCAUAGGGCUUGAGAUUUAUGAACUUCUUUUCUUUCAUAUUUAUUAUUCCC
rnacentral:lncRNA from 1 species